GAAGGGAGAAAUUCAUUCGCGUUUCGCUGUUGGCGUGAGACGUUCGUGUGACGGAGAGGGUUCGCUCGAUCCGCGCCUUUCGUUUCGCGAUCCGACGGCGAACGCGUGCACUUUUCUCCUGGUAGGACGUGGCGAUCCGUUGGGUGUCGAUCUACGGCCCGGGGUGGAGCCCGCGUGGUUUUUCCGCGCGGACCCUCGGUGUCCUGGCCGACUCGCUCGACGGUAUACGAAAGGUCGAGGGCCGCUUUUAAAGCGUCCGACUCGUCGCAAGCGCUUCGGAAGCGUCGGAUACCGGACCUGGUGCCGAUACCGAUCUCCGAUGGCUGUUGGCGAUGAAUGUCUUGGACAGACCCUCGUGACCGAUCUGCCACGCUAUAGCUUUGGGUACUUUCAGGACCCGUCUUGAAACACGGACCAAGGAGUCUAGCAUGUGCGCGAGUCAUUGGGAAGCACUAAACCUAAAGGCGUAAUGAAAGUAAAGGUUUGUCUUGCACAAACCGAGGGAGGAUGGGCGGUUGGCCCUUAAAAGCCGCCGCUCCGCACUCCCGGGGCGUCUCGUUCUCAUUGCGAGAGGAGGCGCACCAAGAGCGUACACGCUGGGACCCGAAAGAUGGUGAACUAUGCCUGGUCAGGACGAAGUCAGGGGAAACCCUGAUGGAGGUCCGUAGCGAUUCUGACGUGCAAAUCGAUCGUCGGAACUGGGUAUAGGGGCGAAAGACUAAUCNAACCAUCUANUAGCUGGU
rnacentral:rRNA from 1 species